rnacentral:lncRNA from 1 species
CGAGGAGUUUCACGCGCCGAUCCGGAAGGGUCAAUAGGGUUGUACAUGUUGUAAUGGACGCGCUGGACGAGGCCAUGCAAGGGGGAGAUAUCGUGUGAGGUAGGGCCUUGAUUGGCAGCUGAGGUAGCGGGGAGGGGGAUGCCGACGAGUUGCUGAGUUUGGGGCGGAGAGAGGGAGUUAGGGUUGAAGAAAAGGAGGUUGCUGGCCUGGGGCGGUGGAGGGGUAUCGGAAUACUGAACAUAGGCAGGGUUCAUAAGUACAAGGGUUUGAAGGCCGUCAGUACUUGCUUGGAU